AUCCAGCCGACGAGUCUUAAAUACGAUGAAACGCUCGUCUUGGAU
rnacentral:hammerhead_ribozyme from 1 species